GGCGAUUGGUCAAGUGGUAAGACGUCAGGAUUGUUAAGCCCUGGAGACCCGAGUUCGAUUCCCGGAUCGCUGCU